rnacentral:rRNA from 1 species
GUACACACCGCCCGUCGCUAUUACCGAUUGGGUGUAUAGGUGAACCUUCUCGAUAGAGCAAUCUAAAAAUUAAGUAAACCUUGACRCUUAGAGGAAAUAAAAGUCGUAACAAGGUUUCCGUAGGUGAACCUGCAGAAGGAUCA